GUCUCGAUCCACCAGCUUUGACAGUCCGAAAUCGGUGACCUGUAAGCUUUGCUGUUCCAGGGAGAUGGAAGAGCAAGCGACGUUACCUUUGGAGAAAAGUUCUCGUCUAAGAAUAAGUUAAGCCUCGGGCCAUUCCCAGCGCAAUCUCGUACCGCUUUGGCCAGUCCAGCAGUCGCUCCUUUCCUGGAGUUUCACAGGACAGAGGAGAACUUCUUCGGGAGGAGCUGUGGGAGAAAAUCGGACUUGCUCUUCCUAGUGAACCACAUCGUUGAAAGGGAGGCAAAGCCGAAGAGGAGGAUGAGGAGGAUGAGGAGUGGAAAGAACGCUGUUGCAUCAAAGAAACACAACGCACUUUUGUCUCCACUAUAGAGCGAGCCACCCCUUCCAGGUUUGUUCGUGAAAGUUUACUGAUUUAAAAGCUAGAACGAUUGGCUCGCUAAAAGCUUGAGAAGAGAAUCAUUGUGUUCCUUUCGUUGCAGCAACCGAAUCGCUUGCGCAGAUAAAAUCUCAGCGAGCGAAGCCAGAAAAAACGAAGAAAAAAUCCCAGAGUCCUGCGCGAGCAAGCAACGCGAGAGCUUGUAUUUUUGCUUAAAUCCGCCAACCAAUGCCAGCAACUUAAAAACAUAGAUUUGUCAC